ACGCCCGAUCCCGUCUGACCUCGGAGCUAAGCAGGGUCAGGCCUGGUUAGUACUUGGAUGGGAGACCACCUAGGAAGACCGGGUGCUGUAGGUA
rnacentral:rRNA from 1 species